AUUCCCCUAUCUCUCUCUCACACUUAACACCAACACCAUCCAUCCACACCACCGUCAUGCCUUCCACCCCACCAUAACCUUACGCUACCAUCCACCCUACCACCAUAAUCCCCUGUUCAAGAACCAUUGGCCACCACCCACUGCGACCACCUACCCCACACCACCAACCACUGCUUAAUCUGGAUCUAGAAGCCUAUUUGAGAUGAUAUCGAAAAAAAAAGACGAUGGGUUUUGAUUUUGGGGGAUAACGGGGUUAUGAUGAUGAUCAGGUGAUGUUGAUGAGGGGAACAGUGUUGCCGUCGCAAUCAGGUAACGAGUUUUACAGAAGGCAUGACGGUGGUGUGCCGUCGCAAUCAGGUAACGAGUUUUCAUUUGAUUCCGCAAUCAAGUAACGAGAUUCCGCAAUAAGGUAAGGAGGGGAACAGUGUGAAAUCGCUGUUGAAGAUGUACAAGGAUUGCGUGUUGUUAUGUGCUGAGAAGGAUGAAUCUGGAUCGAUUAUAGGUUUUCAUUUGAUUCCGCAAUCAGAUUUAUCAUUUGAUGUUGAAAUCCGCCGCCGGUGAUGUUGUUGUUCAGGAAGUAGCCGGGGGGGGGGGGGGGUUGAUGGCGACGGUGAUUGGUUUGGUUUUGGGAGGUUGGGCUGUGACAGUGAGCCAGCUGGUGGUGGAUACGGAUGGCGGAGACAAGCUCCGGCCGUCGGAAAACAGCGGCAACGGUGGUGAGGGGUGGCUCAGUUUUGGAACGGAGCUUGGUUCAGUUCGGUUCAGGUUUCACAUAGGUCGGAUUCACUCUUGUUGAACAACCAUUGGACACAAAAUGGCCACGUCAACAAAAAUGGCCACGUUGGAUAAAAACAGGCCAUGUCACCAUGGCACAUCAGAAAAUAUUGGCCACGUCAGCAAAAAGAACUAACCCAGUUAGUGUUUAUUUAACGACGGGGUGACACAGCAACCCAAGUGUUAAGUUGGGAGUGGUGUGAGCCAAAGUCAAAGUUGAGAGUGCUAUCGGCCAAAUGGCAAUAGUUGGAGGUGUUUAAAUCCAUUAACCCUUUUAAAUAUAAAGGACACCGCCUGCAAAGAGGUAUAAAGAUAAAGAACAAUUCUUACAAUUCACUCAAACUGUAAAGAUUAACAUCAACCUAUAUAUAUACUCCGGCGGCUCUGCUUCUUCUCCGGCGCCUGCUUCUUCGCUUCUUCGGUUCUUCCAUACUCCAAACAGAUUGUUGAUGAUGGGACUGAUGCUGGGACUGUUUUUCAAAUGGUAGUUACAUCGGUUAAAGGUCAUCUUAAAGACAUGACCUUCCUAAGUAAUGUUAGGAGCUUCAAAUCUUAUGAGCUUAUAGAACUAUUUGACGUAAAUGUUGAUAAGGUACCUAAACUCGAGAGCCAGAAAAGCACAAUAGGACAUUUACGUCGUGUAGUCGAAGUGUGCAAGCGACUAUAUUUGUUGCUAUAUUGUGAUUUAGAAGGAGAAAGUAUAGCAAAGGAAGUUGUAGAAGUUUGUCAAGAAGUGAAUUCUGAUCUCCUUAUUCGUAGUGCUCGUUUCUCAUCCCUACAUAAGAGUGACAUUAAAGCUGCUUUUAGAGAUGCUGGACAAAUUAAUCACCGGUUUUCCGAUGCUGCUGAUUUCAGGAGAGAAAUAAAUUUGCGAAAUGGUUAUGUGUUUACACGUUUUCAAACAAGUUUACUGUCAAACGCAUAUAAAAUUCACAAUGUUCUAAGUUACGGCAUGUGCCAGCUUCCAACACUCGGAUUCAUUGUGGAGCAAUGUGAAGAGAGAAAGAAUCAAGUUUGGAAGAUUAAGUGCACACAUAAAAUUGUUGAUGACACCACAAAGUUUAGCAUGGAUGUGUCUGAUUCUCAAGAGGCGACAUCAAUUUAUAAUUCUUGUAUCCAAAACUCUCGUGCACGCGUCAAACCUAUGUUGACGUUACGGAUAAUAGUAUAUUGAAUCCAAAACCUUUAACCACUUUUGAGCUUCUACGAUUAGCAUCGCUUCAUUUAGAGAUGAAUGAAUGUUGAACGGACUAUGCAGGUUGCACAAGAUCUUUACGAAGCUGGUUUCAUAAGCUAUCCCCGUACCAGGGACAAUGUUUGUGAAGUAGAAGAGUUCAAUAUAAAAGUGAGUAUAUUUUUCAUCAAAUUAAACAAUCAUUCAUUCUUUGUACGGUACGCUGUCAUCAAAGUUUAUCUCUCAACAGCACCCACCAACACCAAACCCCCAUCACUCAAUGAUUGUUGCCUUUCUGGUCUACAUCUGCUAGUAUACCAUGAUUUGUUGAAAUCUGAAUUCAAUGCUUUGAAGAAACCCUAACUUGUGUAAUUUCGAUAUGCGAUGUGUUUGAAGGAUGGAUGAAAUGAAGACUAGGUGUUUUAAAUGAAGACACAUAUCAAAUUGAUGUUUUUACCCCUCACG